UACGUAGGGUGCGAGCGUUGUCCGGAAUUAUUGGGCGUAAAGGGCUCGUAGGCGGUCUGUUGCGUCGGGAGUGAAAACUCAGGGCUUAACCCUGAGCCUGCUUCCGAUACGGGCAGACUAGAGGUAUGCAGGGGAGAACGGAAUUCCUGGUGUAGCGGUGAAAUGCGCAGAUAUCAGGAGGAACACCGGUGGCGAAGGCGGUUCCCUGGGCAUUACCUGACGCUGAGGAGCGAAAGUGUGGGGAGCGAACAGG
rnacentral:rRNA from 1 species